rnacentral:rRNA from 1 species
UACGAAGGGAGCUAGCGUUGUUCGGAAUUACUGGGCGUAAAGGGCGCGUAGGCGGUUUGUUAUGUCAGAUGUGAAAGCCCCGGGCUUAACCUGGGAACUGCAUUUGAAACUGGCAGACUAGAGAUCGAGAGAGGAAAGUGGAAUUACAAGUGUAGAGGUGAAAUUCGUAGAUAUUUGUAAGAACACCAGUGGCGAAGGCGACUUUCUGGCUCGAUUCUGACGCUAAGGCGCGAAAGCGUGGGGAGCAAACAGG